AUACGGAGGGUGCAAGCGUUACUCGGAAUCACUGGGCGUAAAGCGCGCGCAGGCGGCUAUUUAAGUUGGAUGUGAAAGCCUACGGCUCAACCGUAGAACUGCAUCCAAAACUAUUUAGCUAGAGUGUGGGAGAGGAAGAUGGAAUUAGUUGUGUAGGGGUAAAAUCCGUAGAGAUAACUAGGAAUACCAAAAGCGAAGGCAAUCUUCUGGAACACUACUGACGCUCAGGCGCGAAAGCGUGGGGAGCAAACGGGAUUAGAAACCCUAGUAGUCC
rnacentral:rRNA from 1 species